GAUUGAUAGAUAUAGAUCAAGGGUCUUCAGAUUGGCAAGUUUAAGACUCAUGGACUUCCAACUCCCAGAAUUCCUGAGCUAACAUGACUGGAGGAGGAAUUCUGGGAGCUGAAGUCCACAAAUCUUAAAACUGUCAAGUUUGAAGAUCCCUGAUAUAGAUAGAUGACAGAUUGAUAUAUAAGAUAUAGUUAUAGAAUAUAUGCAGAGAGAGAGAAAGAGACAGAGACAGAUCCCACAUUUUUAAAAUAAAUUGAAGGUAUCACUACCUUAUCCAGAAGGCUGAAAUGAGAGAACGUGAUUGCUUCAUCCUCACCCAGCAUAAUCAAGUGAUAACUUGAACAAUGACUUCAGCCUGGUUCUUCCCAAGGUUCAACAGCAAUUUUAUUCCACAAACUGAAGCACCAUUGCAGAUUCGAAAUAUCAAUCUAUCUACCUACCUAUCUUUUAUCUAUCAUCUAUCUAUGUAUCUAUCUAUCUAUAUCUAUCAUCUACCUAGCUAUCUAGCAUUGAUAUAGCUAUCAUGUAUAAUUUCUGCUGCAUUUUUCUUCUCUGAAUCCCGUCUUUUAAAGAUUGCAAGAGACACAGAGGAGCUGAGGGACCAUUCUGCUGAAGGAUCUCUUUUAUUCAGCCCAUGAUGAGUCACUCUUCAAGGCCAAACAUCCAAACAAUGCUGAAAUUCCUAAUGCUUCUUCAGGUGGCCUUGGAGGUCUCGCUGCAAGAAACCUCCACAUCAAGUACUUCUCCUCAAGACUCGCUCCAAAAUGCAUGCACAUUAAUUAUGUGUGCGCCUAACAAAGGAGAUCCCAGAAGAGAAAAGGCCAUUCAAGGAUUUCAACAGUUUUCAAGUCCAUCAGAACUUCUGGCUCUCUCUGCACUAAACAGAGAUAAACUGGGGACAGGAACAAGUGGUGAGAUUCAUUUUCCAGAUAAGAAAUUUACUAUGAUGAAAACAUUUUGUGACUCUACCACCAUGGGAUUCCCCCAAAAGUGCGGGCUGGAGGAAACUAGGAGGGGGGGAGUAAAGGAAGGGAACUACUUAUGAUGCAAAUACAAACAGGACAUAGAAGGUAAUUUAAUAUACUGCACUAUUUAUUCAUUUAUUCUAUUUAUUAUGCCAGCCACCUCACCUGGAG
rnacentral:lncRNA from 1 species